rnacentral:rRNA from 1 species
GUGAAGCUGGAUUCGCUAGUAAUCGCGCAUCAGCCAUGGCGCGGUGAAUACGUUCCCGGGCCUUGUACACACCGCCCGUCAAGCCAUGGGAGCCGGGAGCGCUUGAAGUGCGUCGCCGCGAGGCGCGCCCUAGAGCGAGACCGGUGACUGGGGCUAAGUCGUAACAAGGUACC